CAAUAGCGUAUAUUAAAGUUGUUGCAGUUAAAAAGCUCGUAGUUGGAUUUCUGGUAGGAGCGACCGUGCCGAACUUGAUUGUUCGAGUAUUGUGUUGUCUUCAGCCAUCCUCGUGGAGAACUUUUCUAACAUUAACUUGUUGGGAUUGGGACCCGCGUCGUUUACUGUGAAGAAAUUAGAGUGUUUAAAGCAGGCAUUAGCUUGAAUACAUUAGCAUGGAAUAAUAAGAUAGGACUUUGGUACUAUUUUGUUGGUUUGCAUACCAAAUUAAUGAUCAACAGGAACAGUUUGAGGAUAUUCGUAUGAACAUGUCAGAGGUGAAAUUCUUGGAUUUUGAUCAGACGAACUACUGCGAAAGCAUUUAUCAAGGAUGUUUUCAUUAA
rnacentral:rRNA from 1 species